GUGGGGAAUCUUGCGCAAUGGGCGAAAGCCUGACGCAGCCAUGCCGCGUGAAUGAUGAAGGUCUUAGGAUUGUAAAAUUCUUUCACCGGGGACGAUAAUGACGGUACCCGGAGAAGAAGCCCCGGCUAACUUCGUGCCAGCAGCCGCGGUAAUACGAAGGGGGCUAGCGUUGCUCGGAAUUACUGGGCGUAAAGGGCGCGUAGGCGGACAGUUUAGUCAGAGGUGAAAGCCCAGGGCUCAACCUUGGAAUUGCCUUUGAUACUGGCUGUCUUGAAUACGGGAGAGGUGAGUGGAACUCCGAGUGUAGAGGUGGAAUUCGUAGAUAUUAGGAAGAACACCAGUGGCGAAGGCGGCUCACUGGUCCGGUACUGACGCUGAGGUGCGAAAGCGUGGGGAGCAAACAGGAUUAGAAACCCUGGUAGUCC
rnacentral:rRNA from 1 species